CUGCCUCGGUUAACGGGGAGGAAGGUGGGGAUGACGUCAAGUCCUCAUGGCCUUUAUACCCAGGGCUACACACGUGCUACAAUGGGCUGUACAAAGGGUUGCUAUCCCGUGAGGGGGCGCUAAUCCCAAAAAGCAGUCCUAAGUUCGGAUUGAAGUCUGCAACUCGACUUCAUGAAGUUGGAAUCGCUAGUAAUCGUGGAUCAGCACGCCACGGUGAAUACGUUCCCGGGCCUU
rnacentral:rRNA from 1 species